UACGUAGGGGGCAAGCGUUGUCCGGAAUCAUUGGGCGUAAAGCGCGCGUAGGCGGCUUUGCAAGUCGGGUGUGAAAUCCCCAGGCUUAACCUGGGAACUGCAUUCGAGACUGCAUUGCUAGAGUAUGGGAGAGGGAAGUGGAAUUUCCGGUGUAGCGGUGAAAUGCGUAGAUAUCGGAAGGAACAUCAGUGGCGAAAGCUACUUCCUGGACCAAUACUGACGCUCAUGUGCGAAAGCGUGGGGAGCAAACAGG
rnacentral:rRNA from 1 species